rnacentral:lncRNA from 1 species
AAUUUUAAUUGAAUUUCUAAAUACUCUUUCAAAAUAUUAGUGUAUGACCCACAUCUGGCUUACAUUAAAGAGGCCCAAAGCUAGAAUUUUUCAAGAAAGACUAAAACGGACAAAGGCCUUCAUACGAGAACAUUAUAUACUUGCCUAGCCCAAUGCAUAUUAAAUCAAAUAAUUCUAAUGGUCUAAAACAAGUGAAAGUAAUGAGUCGCGAAAAAGAUUAUCAAAGAAAUUUCAUCACGUUUAUAUCAUUAAUGAAGAUAACAUAUGAUCAGAGUAACGAAAUUCAUAUAGUUUUGCAUACAACUUCAAUAUAAACUACAGACAUCUUUAAGUUCGAAUACAUCUAUAUGAGAAUUGCAGAAUAUUCCAGAAUUGAGUUAUAACAAAAAUUAUACUCCAAAAUCCUUCACACAUAUCUUCAUAAUACCAAUUUUCCAAAUAUUCCCCUUGGAAUUUACAGAGAAUGCAUCUCUACAAGACCCUUUACCAAAGAUAGAAACUAACUUAAGUCAUAAACUAAAAAUUAAGCUACAUUAUUGCCAUAUUUGGAAUGAUUAGUCCUUGAGUCAAAUACCUUAUCGUAACAUAAAAGAUAAACCCAAAUGUUAGCGAUUAGACCAUAAAUAUAAGCAUAUGUACUUAAUAAUGCAAUAUAGACUAAUUCUUGCUAAACAUGUGAAAUCAAAUACAAUUCCAGUCAUGAAAACACUAACGAUACAAUCUGUCUUUCAUAUGUCCAUCUAUAACAUGCUUUAAAUAGUCAAAACAAAACAUUCUAUUCAUAUUUAAAGAAAGAUAGGCAACAUAUGUAAGUAAAUACCACAAAUAUUUUUAGAAAGGGAACAAUCAAUAUGUUAUUGUAGAUCGAAAUAAGGCAUGGAUGUGAACUGUGUACCUAAACUUGUACACAAGCUAAGAUUUUGCCAAAUCAAAGCUAAGAAAACCACUACUGGACGAGCUUAGCAAGGUUAAUCAAACAAAAACAUCAGAAAUCAGCAUAUAUCCGCUAUCCAUAAUAGCUUAUGAUCCAAGAAAGACACUAAACUCUGGAGAAUAAAAACACCAACCACAGCUUCAAGAACCUAUUUCUCUUCUUAUUUCCAGGAAAAAAAGAAUAACUUCAAAGACAAAAAAAGAAAGUUUACAGUUCUAAAAAUUUCUUUGAGAAUGUUCUCUCAUUUGUUAUGCUAUGAUUUCAGUCGUUUUCUCAAUCUCGACUCUUUUUUUGUGUCUAUAAUGAUUGGAAAAAUGAUGUUUUAUAGAGAAUAUUUAGGGCAACAAUGCCCGUUUUUUCCUCACUCAAAUGCACCCUUAAAAUUUUAAUUUAAUCCACUUACACCCCUGCCCAUAGAAUUUUUCCCCUCUUUUCCCUAAAAUAAUCCUUGUCAGCCUUUAUCUAGAAGCUUUCCCUUUGUUAGGUUAAGAUUCCCACAAUCCCUAUCCAAUUUGAACCCUUCAAUACCCCUGUAUUUACCCCCCUCUCCCUCCGCCCCCAUUUUACUAUUUUGACACUUAUGCCAGAUUGUGUUGGACUAACAAACUCAAGUCCAAACCUAACCCAUAAACCAAAAUAGUUCUAUGAAGAAUUAAACCAAGCUCUGACUAAUCAAAGUAGGGGUGUGCAUUCGAAUCGGUUUACCGAUAAAUCGAAUCGAUUAUUUUGUUAUCGGUUUAUUGAUAUCGGUUUAUCGAUUUAUCGGUUCGAUUUCGAUUUCAAAAAAUUUCCUUAUCGGUUUAUCGAUUCGAUUUCGAUUUUGGCAAUUCGGUUUAUCGGUUUAUCGAUAAAAUCGAUAAAGUAUAUUAAAAAGACAAUAAUACCCUUAUUUUAUAAUAAUAUUACUACCGUAUCCUUCGCUUAAAUGACGGCCCAGAUUAGCACUUUCAACAAAAUCAACGGCCCACAACAUUCACCAGCAGUAUGUAUUCCACAAAACCCUAAUUCCUACCCCUCUCGCACCAUCUCCAUCUUUGCUGCUUGUGGCGCAACACACAGCCUCCCCUCACUCUCAUUUCAUUUUGCGAAAAUGGUGACUUACCGUCUCGAUCUUGAUUUCAAUUUUCUUAACGAUUAUAUUAUUUGCUUAAUUAUAUCUGCUUAUUUUGAAAUUUAUAUGUAUUUUCAAAUGAUUACGAUUAUAAUUUGCUUAAUUAUAUCUGCUAAUUUCAAAAUUUAUAGGGUCUUUCAAAUGAUUACGAUAUGUUGAACCCGCCAGCAUAUGUUGAAAAGAGGAAGCAUAAGCUCAAACGUCUUGUUCAGUCUCCUAACUCUUUCUUCAUGGUACAUUUUUUUCCAAUGUGAAAAUGAUUUCCUGUUUAUGUAUGCUUUUAGGAUUUUAUAAUUUAUGUGUGGCUUUGUUUUCUCUGCAGGAUGUUAAGUGCCAAGGCUGCUUUAACAUGUAAGAUCUUUGUCCUUUGGUUUUAUUAUGUUUAGCUUAGUAUUUCCUAGUGUUCCAGUCUUUAUGUGGGACUAUUACUUAGAGAAUCAAAGUAUUAUGUUGUAUUAUCUCAAUAGUUUCAGCCGUGAUAAUCAAAGUGUACAGCCCGCCUCUUGGCUUAUUGGUGUUAUCGAUAAUCGAAUCGAAAAGCCCCAAAAAUCGGUAAAUCGAAAUCGAAAAAAUCGAAACCUUAUUGAAACGAUAACGAUAAGCAUAUGUAAAAAUCGAUAACCGAUAAGUAAUUAUCGAUAAGGAUAAGAAUCGAAUCGAUAAAUCGAAUGCACACCCCUAAAUCAAAGGUUAGUGACACAUUUAAAAAAAAGCUAUAAAUUACAAAUGCAAAUAUGUCUAAUUAACAAGCUAUUAACACUUAUUAAUCAAUCAUGCACAAGAAAAAAUAAUUUUUUGACAAAAAAUUAUUAUCAUAGUACGGGCAAUGAAAAAUUGGAGGAGAGAUAUACCACUUGAAUCGCCAAAAGCUUCAACAAUAAUGACUUGAUUCGAACUCCAGCAAACAAUAAUAUCGGCCAAUGAUGACAAUUGUAACAUCAACACUGACAGGAUUUUCUUCCACAACUAGUGUUUCAUGUCACAAUCCUCAACACAUGCCAAGAAAAGGACGAGGCAGAGGCUCAAGAGAAUUCGAAUACUCCAAGUAUAAGUGUCCAGAACUCGGCCAACACGAAGAUGGGUUAUGCUUACUAGUGAUCGACUCUGUCCGGUCAAAAGUAGGGGAUUCAAGUGGGUUUCAUCGUGAAUUGAGGGCCAAAUCAGGAAAAAUCAAAUAAAAAAAUAAAAUGUCCGAAAUUUUUUAUUCCUAGAUCUCUAAUUCGGAGAAAAUAAGUGGUUUUUGGAGAAAUCAAUGGUGGAAUAUAAAUGAGGGGGUGACGGAAGUUGUGUGGUUGAAAUUUGAGGGCUUUUGGAGGUGGUCCGCUGCCACAAGAUGAUUUAUGGGCGGUGGAGGAACGACAGAGCGGGCGAUGGUUGUUUUGAGAGAGAGGGUAACUACGUUUAGACUUAAUUUAAUGAGUUAUGAGGCCAGGG